AGAACGAACGCUGGCGGCGCGUUUAAGCAUGCAAGUCGAGCGGCAAGGGCCUUCGGGCCCCUAGAGCGGCGGACGGGUGAGUAACACGUGGACAAUCUGCCCCCCGGCCCGGGAUAGCCCAGGGGAAACCUGGAUUAAUACCGGAUGAGACGGGACCCGCGAUGGCGGGAUCCGGGAAAGGCGCUGCGGCGCCGCCGGGGGAUGAGUCUGCGUCCCAUUAGCUAGACGCGGGUAACGGCCCACCGUGGCGACGAUGGGUAGCCGGCCUGAGAGGGUGGACGGCCACAUUGGAACUGAGACACGGUCCAGACUCCUACGGGAGGCAGCAGCUAAGAAUCUUCCGCAAUGGGCGAAAGCCUGACGGAAGCGACGCCGCGUGAACGAAGAAGGCCGUGAGGUUGUAAAGUUCUUUUCGGGAGGGGAACAACCGUGGCAGGGAAUGGCCGCGGGAUGACGUGAAUCCCGGAAUAAGCCCCGGCUAACUACGUGCCAGCCGCCGC
rnacentral:rRNA from 1 species